rnacentral:lncRNA from 10 species
CUGCAGGAGGGCAGACACUGCCUCCACCCUUUCCUAAGUUCCCUGUACAUAGCAGGCCUGCAAGAAGACUUUGUGAGUGUGUGGAUGGAUGCUGACGCCCUUGGAGAAAUAUGGAAACCUGGUGGAGACUCAUAUAAAAAUGGUGGAUAGGAGGCAAGACUAACUUGCAGCUCCCAUUCGGAUGGACAGAGUAGCAGGUGGAAACUCACGUGAACUUUCGCUCUAAGAACUACCAAGGGAACAUACCAGGAAAGCCAAGAGAAUGAGAAUCCACAGACCCUUUAAAGGAGGUGGAUUGCCACCGCGGGCUGCGUGGAACUGCCAAGGAACUAGUCUUGCUCUAUUGCCCAGGCUGGAGUACAGUGUUUCUACCUUGGCUAACUGCAACCUCCACCUCCCAGGUUCAAGCGAUUCUCCUGCCUCAGCCUCCCGAGUGAGACCAUUAUUCUAAGUGAAGUAACUCAGGAAUGUAAGUAACUCAGGUAUGGAAGUAACUAAGUGAAGUAACCCAGGAAUGGAAGUAACUCAGGAAUGAAGUAAUUCAGGAAUGGAAAACCAAAUAUCAUAUGUUCUCACUCAUUAGUGGGAGCUAAGCUAUGAAGAUACAAAGGCAUAAGAACCAUACAAUGGACUUUGGGGACUCCGGGGAAAGGGUGGGAGGGGGCAACGGAUAAAAGACUAUGCAUUGGGUACAGUGUACACUGCUCGGGUGAUGGGUGCACCAAAAUCUCAGAAAUCACCACUAAAGAACUUAUUCAUGUACAAAAACAUUAAUUAAUUUUUUUAAUGUAAAAAAAAAACAGAGAUAUGGAAACCUUUCCAGUAGCCCCAUCAGACUCCUCUCAUGUCUCAUUGCCCAGAUUUGGGCCACAUGCUGAAACUGAGACCAGUCACUGGUUCAUGAAAGAGGAUUAGCCUGAUUGGCCUAGACCAUCCGUGGGUCCAUAUGUGGUCCUAUUUUGCACAUGAUAAGCAUGCAGUUUUAUCAUAUGGAAUUUACCAGGUAAUUUUGACAGCACCUAUACCCUGUUCAACAGAGGAAUCCACUGUUCACAUGUUUGGAUGCCAUAGCAAAGUCAAAUAGCUAUAAAAGUUUCUAAACACUCUCCGUUUCUAUACUUAUUACACAGCAGUAGUAAAUAAAUAGUUCGCUGCAGAACAGCAC